GAGCUUUUUUAAAGCCGGGGCUGUGAGGCGGAGCGAAGGAUGCGUGAUUGAUAGGUACAGCAUCCAAUCAGAUUCUGGGGUUUAUUUGCUCGGACCAAUAGCGGAGAUGAGUACGACCUCGUUGAAAUCUUCUGAUUGGUCUGCAAACACGUAAUGUCCCGCCCCUCUGAUGACCUACAGGACAAUAACUUCAGUAGAUGCCUCCUAAGUGGCCUGAGGGAUCGAGGCAACAUGACUGCAGACAUCAGGAGUGCAACAAUCAGAAAGUACUUCAAUCUGAUUUCAUUUCCUUUAGGAAUCAUAUACAUGAUUUUUUUUUUUCAAUCAAGGUUUAGGCCUUAUCACAUAACUACACAGCGUUGGUUAAAGUAGUAAAUGCCUGAAUAUUGACCACUGAUCUGUGUUGCUUGUGUUGCUCGGUCUCAGUGCAAAAAUCAUAAAUAAUUUUUUUAGAGAGCUCUUUCCUGAUUCAGAUCUUAUUUAAUUGACAAUGAUCAGUUUGUGAAUGUGAAUGUUCUACAAAGCUCUGUUUUAUGACUAAUUGUUUUUUUUCUACUAUGGGCCAGAGGUCUGUGAUCAGUUUAGUGAAUCUUGUUGCCUGAUAAACCCAAUAGAAUAAAGUGUCAAUAUGUGUUAUUGAAAAUGAUCUAGAAAUAACAUUGAAUUUAAUUUUCUUGACCAGAAUGUUCCUUAAAGAACCUCAGUGGUUGAUUUUUGGCUGAGUGGCAAUGACACAAUGCUGUGACUGACUUUUACAUUAUCAACAAAGUGUUUAAAAUGUUUUUAACAGUGUUAAGCAAUAAAACUAAAUGUAUAAUCACUUUAUACAUUUACUGAAUACAUUUAAUUUGCUACACAUUGGGUUAUAUAUAGUCAGCUACUCCAAUACAACUCUUGUCGUUUCAAUAUUUUAUUCCGCUUGCUAGCUAACUAUCAUGCUAGAUAUUUACAGAGUCCAAAUGAUUCUAGUUUAAAAGCUACAUCAUCUUAAAUCAAGCAGUCAUGUGAUCAGAGAAAUCAACAAGGGCGUGUUUAAAACAGUACUAGAACGCGAGGUGGA